AUACGGAGGGGGCUAGCGUUGUUCGGAAUUACUGGGCGUAAAGCGCGCGUAGGCGGUCCGCGUAGUCAGGCGUGAAAGCCCCGGGCUCAACCUGGGAACUGCGUUUGAUACUGGCGGACUAGAGGCCGGGAGAGGGUGGCGGAAUUCCCAGUGUAGAGGUGAAAUUCGUAGAUAUUGGGAAGAACACCAGUGGCGAAGGCGGCCACCUGGCCCGGUACUGACGCUGAGGUGCGAAAGCGUGGGGAGCAAACAGGAUUAGAAACCCCAGUAGUCC
rnacentral:rRNA from 1 species